rnacentral:rRNA from 1 species
GCGAAAACUUUACAAUGCUGGCAACAGCGAUAAGGGAACCUCGAGUGCCAGGUUACAAAUCUGGCUGUCGAGAUGCCUAAAAAGCAUUUCAUAGCAAGGGCCGGGCAAGACCGGUGCCAGCCGCCGCGGUAACACCGGCGGCUCGAGUGGUAACCGUUAUUAUUGGGUCUAAAGGGUCUGUAGCCGGCCGGAUAAGUCUCUUGAGAAAUCUGGCAGCUUAACUGUCAGGCUUUCAGGAGAUACUGUCUGGCUCGAGGCCGGGAGAGGUGAGAGGUACUUCAGGGGUAGGGGUGAAAUCUUGUAAUCCUUGAAGGACCACCAGUGGCGAAGGCGUCUCACCAGAACGGACCUGACGGCAAGGGACGAAAGCUAGGGUAGCAAACG